rnacentral:piRNA from 1 species
AUCAUUAGCUAAUGCAAAGAAAUGUUUGC